GAGUUAGAUAUUUGAUUCUAAUCCCUGCUCUUUAUAAUAAAUUGAAGCAAGUGCAUAUAGUUUUAGUUAUAAAAGGGCUUUGAGAAUUUGGAUGGGGUAAUUCUAAUCCUACUUUGUGUGUGUGUGUGUAUUGAAAUAUAAAGGUUUUUAGUAGAUUUUUAGAAUUUUGGACUUAAUUGCAAGCUAGGCCAAUUUUAUUUGACAAGGACAUGUUGUUUCAUGUAUCAUGCGACAUUCAAUCCUGGUUGAGUUUGUGCUGAGAUUGAGUGCAUGCUGAUAUUGAAUUCAUAUCUUAUAUAAUAUGAAUCAUAUGAAUUACAAUUUUCUUUUUCUAUGCAAGAGCAGUGUUUCAAAUAUAAAUUCUGUUACUAAAAUUUCAUUUCCUUUUUCCUUUAAUCCAUGGCUGCACUAUGAAACUCCACCCCCUGUGGGUUGGGAAGGUAUUGUGGGGGGAUAGCCUUCCACCAUUCUGUCUACUUCCCUCCUAACCUUGAUAAAGUUGAGAUUUGAUCUCAGCAAUCUUGGGCUGCUCAUUGAAUUUACAGAGGUGAAGCACAUUUCUUCCUCUUAUCAUAAACAAAUGUAUGAGGCACUGGCAUUUAGUACCUUUAACCAAAACCUAAUUUAGCAAAAUAUAUCGAGUCCUCUUAACUGAAUGUUCCAUCCAAGGUUUUUUUUUCCUUGUUUUUUUUGGGUUAUUUGAUCUUAAAAAUUUCUCCUCUAUGGUUAGUCUACAAAUUGGAGAACACUAAUAAACUCCUGCAUAAGCAAAACUGGCAGAUUCUGCCAGAAUAAGAGACCAAAAUCUGAAUGGUUUCUAUAGUUGGAUACUCCAAUUGCUUUCGCUUGAAAGUCUCAGAAAAAAUGCGUUCAAAAUUGAACAAUGUUCAGGUUUCCUAGUUGUUCCUUAUAUGACAAAUAUGAGUACAUAAUCCCUACAUGGACCAGAACCAGUGUCCAUACCAUCAGAUUCUAAUUAAAAGGAAAGAUGGAUUUAUAGAAUUUCAUUUUUAAUAGGCAUAGAGGUAGGAGAAUCAAAUUCUAGAAUAUUGGUUGCCAUCUUAAAAAGUACAUAAAAAUAAAAGAAGAGAAAGAAAUGUUUUUCUUUUGUGUUUUUUAUACUGCUCUCUGCACAUGUAGUGUGGUGUAGAA
rnacentral:misc_RNA from 1 species